AGUGAACGCUGGCGGUAGGCCUAACACAUGCAAGUCGAACGGCAGCACAGUAAGAGCUUGCUCUUACGGGUGGCGAGUGGCGGACGGGUGAGGAAUACAUCGGAAUCUACUUUUUCGUGGGGGAUAACGUAGGGAAACUUACGCUAAUACCGCAUACGACCUACGGGUGAAAGCAGGGGAUCUUCGGACCUUGCGCGAUUGAAUGAGCCGAUGUCGGAUUAGCUAGUUGGCGGGGUAAAGGCCCACCAAGGCGACGAUCCGUAGCUGGUCUGAGAGGAUGAUCAGCCACACUGGAACUGAGACACGGUCCAGACUCCUACGGGAGGCAGCAGUGGGGAAUCUUGGACAAUGGGCGCACGCCUGAUCCAGCCCUACCGCGUGGGUGAAGAAGGCCUUCGGGUUGUAAAGCCCUUUUGUUGGGAAAGAAAAGCAGCAGGUUAAUACCCCGCUGUUCUGACGGUACCCAAAGAAUAAGCACCGGCUAACUUCGUG
rnacentral:rRNA from 1 species